rnacentral:misc_RNA from 1 species
AAGUCGUAACAAGGUUUCCGUAGGUGAACCUGCGGAAGGAUCAUUAAUGUUAUUUGUUUUUAGACCUGCGCUUAACUGCGCGGUUUAAUAAACUCUUAUACACAGUGUUUUUGUUUGCGAAUUUGGUUUAGUUUGUUGGUUUUCAUUCGAAAGGAUGAAGAUUGAUUGCUAAAUCUUAUUCAGCUUUUUAAACUCAGAUCUCUUUUUAAGAGAAAUGUAUUUUUUUAAUUACAACUAGUCGAUUUUACAAACUAAAAGUUUAAAACUUUCAGCAACGGAUCUCUUGGUUCUC